rnacentral:tRNA from 1 species
ACCUGGGUAGCUUAGAAAGGUAAAGCUUUGAUUUUGUAAUUCAAGGACGGUAUAUUACCCCCUGGUA